rnacentral:rRNA from 1 species
GAUGAACGCUGGCGGCGUGCCUAAUACAUGCAAGUCGAGCGAAGCGGGGACGGGGGAGUAACACGUGGAUAACCUCCUAUAAGACUGGGAUAACACUGGGAAACAGGAGUUAAACCGGUAAAGUAUCGAUGGAUCCGAGCUGCAUUAGCUAGUUGGUAAGGUAACGGCUUACCAAGGCAACGAUGCAUAGCCGAGCUGAGAGGGUGAUCGGCCACACUUGAAAUGAGACACGGUCCAGACUCCUACGGGAGGCAGCAGUAGGGAAUCUUCCGCAAGGGUCGAAAGCCUGACGAAGCAACGCCGCGUGAGUGAUGAAGGUCUUCGGAUCGUAAAACACUGUUAGUAGGGAAGCGGUACCUAAUCAGAAAGCCACGGCUAACUACGUGCCAGCAGCCGCGGUAAUAC